CCACAGCUAGUGUUCAAAGCCAAGACUUUCUGGCUCCAACUCCCAUGCACUUUCCACUACACAGGUGCAUCUCAGCCCAGGCUAUGUUCACAAUACUCACCAUCACCGUCAUCAUCAUUAACUCCAGCCCAGGCUAUGUUCACAGUACUCACCAUCACCGUCAUCAUCAUCAUUAACUCCAGCCCAGGCUAUGUUCACAGUACUCACCAUCACCGUCAUCUUCAUCAUGAACUCCAGCCCAGGCUAUGUUCACAGUACUCACCAUCACCGUCAUCAUCAUCAUUAACUCCAGCCCAGGCUAUGUUCACAGAACUCACCAUCACCAUCACUGUCAUCAUCAUCAUUAACUCCAGCCCAGGCUAUGUUCACAGUACUCACCAUCACCGUCAUCAACAUCAUUAACUCCAGCCCAGGCUAUGGUCACAAUACUCACCAUCACCGUCAUCUUCAUCAUUAACUCCAGCCCAGGCUAUGUUCACAAUACUCACCAUCACCGUCAUCAUUAACUCCAGCCCAGGCUAUGUUCACAGUACUCACCAUCACCAUCACUGUCACCAUCAUCAUUAACUCCAGCCCAGGCUAUGGUCACAAUACUCACCAUCACCGUCACCUUCAUCAUUAACUCCAGCCCAGGCUAUGUUCACAAUACUCACCAUCACCGUCAUCAUCAUGAACUCCAGCCCAGGCUAUGUUCACAGAACUCACCAUCACCGUCAUCAUCAUCAUUAACUCCAGCCCAGGCUAUGUUCACAGAACUCACCAUCACCAUCACUGUCAUCAUCAUCAUUAACUCCAGCCCAGGCUAUGUUCACAGUACUCACCAUCACCGUCAUCUUCAUCAUUAACUCCAGCCCAGGCUAUGUUCACAGAACUCACCAUCACCGUCAUCAUCAUCAUUAACUCCAGCCCAGGCUAUGUUCACAGUACUCACCAUCACCAUCACCGUCACCAUCAUCAUUAACUCCAGCCCAGGCUAUGUUCACAGUACUCACCAUCACCAUCACUGUCAUCAUCAUCAUCUCCAGUGUGUACACCAGGGCAUCAGUGGGUGCUAGAAGCCACAGAAAUAAAUAUGGGCCAUCUUCUUGAGGUCCAAUUUGGUGAUUCGUAGGCAUUAGUUUUACAUUAAAAUCAACAUUGAUAUAUUAAGGAAGAGAGAACAAGUUAAGCAUAAUUGUUUAGGGGGAGAACGGAACUCGAUUCUAUGGGCUGUUUCAGGCUCUGCCCCAGGUUUGGGGUCUUUCUUCGUGCCGUUGAAACACUUGAAUGGAAAAUGUAGAGAGUUUCCAAGCUCACCCCGGAAUCGGUGAGCAGGCCCUGGUGGUGAGGGCUGCAGGUUGACCUGGACUCCUCCUUCCUGUCUAGGGAUUGCCUCCAGAUUAGCAGAGGCUGGGGCCUAUCUGAGGCAGACAGCUUCAGUGCACACAGGCAAGCUAGAGUCAAGAAAUGGACCGUGGAUCUUUCAAAUCUCUUCUUAUCUUGCUUUCAGGUGAUUCUGUUAUUUAAAGUUUUUAUCUUCUUGAAAAUUUUAGGAAGAUUAAAUUUCUUAGGAAAUUUUAAAUCAAAUCAUGCUUUUAUGGAGUAAGAGAACCGAGCCUUCCCUUUCAUGACCCCAGUAUACCUCUCCCAAGAGGUGUAGUAAGUUCGUUUUACGUGGUUGAUAUGGGGCGGGGGUUAGCAGCUCUUCUCUCCUUCAGUAGUUCUCAAGCUUGGCUGCACCAGGAAUCACCUGGGAGGGUUUUUUGUUGUUGUUUGUUUUUUUUUUUUUUUUUUUUUUUGAGAUGGAGUAUCACUCUGUUGCCCAGGCUGGAGUGAAGUGGCUGGAUCUCAGCUCACUGCAACCUCCGCCUCCUGGGUUCAAGUGAUUCUCCUGCCUCAGCCUCCCAAGUAACUGGAAUUACCGGCUUGUGCCACCACGCCUGGCUAAUUUUUGUAUUUUUAGUAGAGACAGGGUUUUGCCAUGUUGGCCAGGCUGGUCUCAAACUCCUGACCUCAGAUGAUCUGCCCACCUUGGCCUCCCGAAGUGCUAGGAUUACAGAUGUGAGCCACCAUGCCCAACCCACCUGGAAGUUUUAACAAAC
rnacentral:lncRNA from 1 species